CACGUAGGGCGCAAGCGUUGUCCGGAAUUAUUGGGCGUAAAGAGCUCGUAGGCGGUCUGUUGCGUCCGCUGUGAAAACCCGGGGCUUAACCCUGGGCUGGCAGUGGAUACGGACAGACUAGAGGUAGGUAGGGGAGAAUGGAAUUCCCGGUGUAGCGGUGAAAUGCGCAGAUAUCGGGAGGAACACCAGUGGCGAAGGCGGUCCACUGGGCAUCAACUGACGCUGAGGCGCGAAAGCGUGGGUAGCAAACAGG
rnacentral:rRNA from 1 species